CCUACGGGAGGCAGCAGUGGGGAAUCUUGCGCAAUGGGCGAAAGCCUGACGCAGCAACGCCGCGUGCGGGAUGAAGGCCUUCGGGCUGUAAACCGCUUUCAGCAGGAAUGAAAAUGACGGUACCUGCAGAAGAAGGAGCGGCCAACUACGUGCCAGCAGCCGCGGUGACACGUAGGCUCCAAGCGUUGUCCGGAUUUAUUGGGCGUAAAGAGCUCGUAGGCGGUCUAAUAAGUCGGGUGUGAAAACUCUGGGCUCAACCCCGGAGACGCCAUCCGAUACUGUUAUGACUUGAGUUCAGGGGGGGUAGCGGGGAAUUCCUAGUGUAGCGGUGAAAUGCGCAGAUAUUAGGAGGAACACCGGUGGCGAAGGCGCCGCUCUGGACUGAAACUGACGCUGAGGAGCGAAAGCAUGGGUAGCAAACAGGAUUAGAUACCCGUGGUAGUCCAUGCCGUAAACGGUGGGCACUAGGUGUGGGUUUCAACUACGAAAUCCGCGCCGUCGCUAACGCAUUAAGUNCCCCGCUGGGGAGUCGGUGCAAGACUAAAACUCAAAGGAAUUGACGGNUUGAGNGUUGCGAGCGACGACGAGGGAGAG
rnacentral:rRNA from 1 species